CCUUAUUGUGGAUCAGUCAGUGGAGCAUUUCACUAGCAAUGCAAAGGUUGUGGGUUCAAACCCCAGGAAAAGCA